GCGUUGACCGAGGAAUCGUUUUCGCAGCGACACACACAGAAAGCCAUCCGCUGAGCUUUCGUGUCAAUGCUGUGGGGAAAGUCCCCGGAGACACAGAGAUGCACCACACACUCCUUGGAAAGCACCCAGCUCGAAGUGUGCUGAGGUCGUGUGUGUGGUCUGGGUGGGAUUGCCCUUUCGCUCGGUGUUCUGACGCGGUCGUAUCGCUGGCGUCGCGCCCACCCACUCUGUCGCCUGUCUUUUUUCGGCGCGCUCUCUCCCCCAUCACGGGAAAUGGCAUUUCCUGCGCGAAGAUAUGAGUGCUGGUUUCUGCUGGAGAGACAUGCGUCGAAGCAGGCGUAUGCGUUGCUCAUAGAUAUAGAGGUAUACGAUUGCUGGCAUGCCUCCGGGCUGCCUUCAACGGAAUGGGGCUUACUAUCCGUCAACG
rnacentral:RNase_MRP_RNA from 2 species